rnacentral:rRNA from 1 species
GAUGAACGCUGGCGGCGUGCCUAAUACAUGCAAGUAGAACGCUGAAGGAGGAGCUUGCUCUUCUGGAUGAUUUGCGAACGGGUGAGUAACGCGUAGGUAACCUGCCUGGUAGCGGGGGAUAACUAUUGGAAACGAUAGCUAAUACCGCAUGACAACAGUUAUUGCAUGAUAACUGUUUAAAAGGGGCAACUGCUCCACUACCAGAUGGACCUGCGUUGUAUUAGCUAGUUGGUGAUGUAACGGCUCACCAAGGCGACGAUACAUAGCCGACCUGAGAGGGUGAUUGGCCACACUGGGACUGAGACACGGCCCAGACUCCUACGGGAGGGAGCAGUAGGGAAUCUUCGGCAAUGGACGGAAGUCUGACCGAGCAACGGCGCGUGAGUGAAGAAGGUUUUCGGAUCGUAAAGCUCUGUUGUAAGAGAAGAACGAGUGUGAGAGUGGAAAGUUCACACUGUGACGGUAUCUUACCAGAAAGGGACGGCUAACUACGUG